UGAGGGAAAGUUGCAAAGAACUUUGAAGAGAGAGUUCAAGAGUACGUGAAACUGCUCAGAGGCAAACAGGUGGGCCCUCGAAAUCCCUCUGCGGGGGGAUUCAGUCGGAAGGCUAAGCGGCCGGGCCUCGAGCGUCCGACAGGUGAACUGCGGCAAGCGCUCGGUCCGUCCGUUGCCGCCCGACGCACUUCCUUCCGCACAGAGGACGCCGCAGCCGGUCGGGUAGCAGCGAGAGUCGGCCAUGAGGACCUACGAGCAGGCAGGUGACGGGAGGCUCGCCCCAGCGCGCAGUCUUCCGUUGUUAGCCCACCUGGUCCGAGGCGCGACACCCGACCGAGGAGAAAGAGCCUUCAUCACGGGCUCGAGCCGCGCACUCGCCACGCGAGCGGGGCGGUGAGGCAGGGGCGAAGACUCGUUCGGAACCACCCGCGAGCGGUGGCCCGUCCUGGAGUAGUCCCGUUGGUCUCACGAAUCCGCGGCGAGCGCCUACGGCUUGCGGCGAGUAGGUCGGUCACCCACCUGACCCGUCUUGAAACACGGACCAAGGAGUCUAACAUGUGCGCGAGUCGCAGGGUCUUGAACAGGCCCGCGGGCGCAAUGAAAGUGAACGCUCGCGAGAGCUACGCACGUAUGUUGGGAUCCUCGGACCCUCGGGUCCGGGGCGCACCAACGGCCCGCCCCGUCCGAUUUAUCGGUGGGUCGGAGCCGGAGCGCACACGUUGGGACCCGAAAGAUGGUGAACUAUGCCCGGGCAGAACGAAGCCAGGGGAAACCCUGGUGGAGGUUCGCAGCGGUUCUGACGUGCAAAUCGAUCGUCAGACCUGGU
rnacentral:rRNA from 1 species